AGUGAACGCUGGCGGUAGGCCUAACACAUGCAAGUCGAACGGCAGCACAGUAAGAGCUUGCUCUUACGGGUGGCGAGUGGCGGACGGGUGAGGAAUACAUCGGAAUCUACUUUUUCGUGGGGGAUAACGUAGGGAAACUUACGCUAAUACCGCAUACGACCUACGGGUGAAAGCAGGGGAUCUUCGGACCUUGCGCGAUUGAAUGAGCCGAUGUCGGAUUAGCCAGUUGGCGGGGUAAAGGCCCACCAAGGCGACGAUCCGUAGCUGGUCUGAGAGGAUGAUCAGCCACACUGGAACUGAGACACGGUCCAGACUCCUACGGGAGGCAGCAGUGGGGAAUAUUGGACAAUGGGCGCAAGCCUGAUCCAGCCAUACCGCGUGGGCGAAGAAGGCCUUCGGGUUGUAAAGCCCUUUUGUUGGGAAAGAAAAGCAGCAGGUUAAUACCCCGCUGUUCUGACGGUACCCAAAGAAUAAGCACCGGCUAACUUCGUG
rnacentral:rRNA from 1 species